rnacentral:rRNA from 1 species
UACGUAGGGUGCAAGCGUUGUCCGGAAUUAUUGGGCGUAAAGAGCUCGUAGGCGGUUUGUUGCGUCGGCUGUGAAAUCCCGAGGCUCAACCUCGGGUCUGCAGUCGAUACGAGCAAACUAGAGUGUUGCAGGGGAGACUGGAAUUCCUGGUGUAGCGGUGAAAUGCGCAGAUAUCAGGAGGAACACCCGUGGCGAAAGCGGCUCUCUGGGACGGUACUGACGCUGAGACGCGAAAGCGUGGGGAGCGAACAGG